rnacentral:rRNA from 1 species
CUCCUACGGGAGGCAGCAGUCGGGAAUUUUGGGCAAUGGGCGAAAGCCUGACCCAGCAACGCCGCGUGAAGGAUGAAGUAUUUCGGUAUGUAAACUUCGAAAGAAUAGGAAGAAUAAAUGACGGUACUAUUUAUAAGGUCCGGCUAACUACGUGCCAGCAGCCGCGGUAAUACGUAGGGACCAAGCGUUGUUCGGAUUUACUGGGCGUAAAGGGCGCGUAGGCGGUGUUGUAAGUCACUUGUGAAAUCUCUGAGCUUAACUCAGAACGGCCAAGUGAUACUGCAGCACUAGAGUGCAGAAGGGGCAAUCGGAAUUCUUGGUGUAGCGGUGAAAUGCGUAGAUAUCAAGAGGAACACCUGAGGUGAAGACGGGUUGCUGGGCUGACACUGACGCUGAGGCGCGAAAGCUAGGGGAGCAAACGGGAUUAGAUACCCCGGUAGUCCUAGCCCUAAACGAUGAAUACUUGGUGUCUGGAGUCUUUAAUGCUCCGGGUGCCGUCGCUAACGUUUUAAGUAUUCCGCCUGGGGAGUACGCUCGCAAGAGUGAAACUCAAAGGAAUUGACGG